GGCCAAGUUUUUAAGGGCGCACGGUGGAUGCCUUGGUACCAGGAACCGAUGAAGGACGUGGGAGGCCACGAUAGUCCCCGGGGAGCCGUCAACCAGGCUUUGAUCCGGGGGUUUCCGAAUGGGGAAACCCGGCAGUCGUCAUGGGCUGUCACCCACAUCUGAACACAUAGGGUGUGUGGAGGGAACGCGGGGAAGUGAAACAUCUCAGUACCCGCAGGAAGAGAAAACAACCGUGAUUCCGGGAGUAGUGGCGAGCGAAACCGGAUGAGGCCAAACCGUAUACGUGUGAGACCCGGCAGGGGUUGCGUGUACGGGGUUGUGGGAUCUCUCUUUCACAGUCUGCCGGCUGUGAGACGAGUCAGAAACCGUUGGUGUAGGCGAAGGACAUGCGAAAGGUCCGGCGUAGAGGGUAAGACCCCCGUAGUCGAAACAUCAACGGCUCGUUUGAGAGACACCCAAGUAGCACGGGGCCCGAGAAAUCCCGUGUGAAUCUGGCGGGACCACCCGCUAAGCCUAAAUAUUCCCUGGUGACCGAUAGCGGAUAGUACCGUGAGGGAAUGGUGAAAAGUACCGCGGGAGCGGAGUGAAAUAGUACCUGAAACCGUGUGCCUACAAGCCGUGGGAGCGUCGCUCAUCAAGUUUACUUGGUGGGUCGUGACUGCGUGCCUUUUGAAGAAUGAGCCUGCGAGUUUGCGGUGUGUUGCGAGGUUAACCCGUGUGGGGAAGCCGUAGCGAAAGCGAGUCCGAACAGGGCGAUUCAGUAGCGCGCUCAAGACCCGAAGCGGAGUGAUCUAGCCAUGGGCAGGUUGAAGCGGCUGUAAGAGGUCGUGGAGGACCGAACCCACCAGGGUUGAAAACCUGGGGGAUGACCUGUGGUUAGGGGUGAAAGGCCAAUCAAACUCCGUGAUAGCUGGUUCUCCCCGAAAUGCAUUUAGGUGCAGCGUCGUGUGUUUCUUGCCGGAGGUAGAGCACUGGAUAGGCGAUGGGCCCUACCGGGUUACUGACCUUAGCCAAACUCCGAAUGCCGGUAAGUGAGAGCACGGCAGUGAGACUGUGGGGGAUAAGCUCCAUGGUCGAGAGGGAAACAGCCCAGAGCAUCGACUAAGGCCCCUAAGCGUACGCUAAGUGGGAAAGGAUGUGGAGUCGCAGAGACAACCAGGAGGUUGGCUUAGAAGCAGCCACCCUUGAAAGAGUGCGUAAUAGCUCACUGGUCUAGUGAUUCCGCGCCGACAAUGUAGCGGGGCUCAAGCGUACCGCCGAAGUCGUGUCAUUUCAGCAUAUAGGGCCAACGCCCGCUGGGAUGGGUAGGGGAGCGUCGUGUGCCGGGUGAAGCCGCAGCGGAAGCUAGUGGUGGACGGUUCACGAGUGAGAAUGCAGGCAUGAGUAGCGAUACACACGUGAGAAACGUGUGCGCCGAUUGACUAAGGGUUCCUGGGUCAAGCUGAUCUGCCCAGGGUAAGUCGGGACCUAAGGCGAGGCCGACAGGCGUAGUCGAUGGAUAACCGGUUGAUAUUCCGGUACCCGCUGUGAAGCGUCAAACAGUGAACCAGGCGAUGCUAAGUCCGUGAAGCCGCCCUGGAGCCUUCGGGCAAAGGGGAGUGGUGGAGCCGACGGACCAGACCUGUAGUAGGUGAGUGAUGGGGUGACGCAGGAAGGUAGUCCAGCCCGGGCGGUGGUUGUCCCGGGGUAAGGGUGUAGGCCGUGUGGUAGGUAAAUCCGUCGCACAUUAAGGCUGAGACCUGAUGCCGAGCCGAUUGUGGUGAAGUGGAUGAUCCUAUGCUGUCGAGAAAAGCCUCUAGCGAGUUUCAUGGCGGCCCGUACCCUAAACCGACUCAGGUGGUCAGGUAGAGAAUACCGAGGCGUUCGGGUGAACUAUGGUUAAGGAACUCGGCAAAAUGCCCCCGUAACUUCGGGAGAAGGGGGGCCAUCACUGGUGAUCCGUUUUACACGGUGAGCUGGGGGUGGCCGCAGAGACCAGCGAGAAGCGACUGUUUACUAAAAACACAGGUCCGUGCGAAGCCGUAAGGCGAUGUAUACGGACUGACGCCUGCCCGGUGCUGGAACGUUAAGGGGACCGGUUAGUGCACUUUCGGGUGUGCGAAGCUGAGAACUUAAGCGCCAGUAAACGGCGGUGGUAACUAUAACCAUCCUAAGGUAGCGAAAUUCCUUGUCGGGUAAGUUCCGACCUGCACGAAUGGCGUAACGACUUCUCGACUGUCUCAACCAUAGGCCCGGUGAAAUUGCACUACGAGUAAAGAUGCUCGUUUCGCGCAGCAGGACGGAAAGACCCCGGGACCUUUACUACAGUUUGAUAUUGGUGUUCGGUUCGGCUUGUGUAGGAUAGCUGGGAGACUGUGAAGUCAUGGCGCCAGCCAUGGUGGAGUCGUCGUUGAAAUACCAGUCUGGUCGUGCUGGAUGUCUAACCUGGGUCCGUGAUCCGGAUCAGGGACAGUGUCUGAUGGGUAGUUUAACUGGGGCGGUUGCCUCCUAAAGAGUAACGGAGGCGCCCAAAGGUUCCCUCAGCCUGGUUGGCAAUCAGGUGUUGAGUGUAAGUGCACAAGGGAGCUUGACUGUGAGACCGACGGGUCGAGCAGGGACGAAAGUCGGGACUAGUGAUCCGGCGGUGGCUUGUGGAAGCGCCGUCGCUCAACGGAUAAAAGGUACCCCGGGGAUAACAGGCUGAUCUUCCCCAAGAGUCCAUAUCGACGGGAUGGUUUGGCACCUCGAUGUCGGCUCGUCGCAUCCUGGGGCUGGAGUCGGUCCCAAGGGUUGGGCUGUUCGCCCAUUAAAGCGGUACGCGAGCUGGGUUUAGAACGUCGUGAGACAGUUCGGUCCCUAUCCGCUGUGCGCGUAGGAAUAUUGAGAAGGGCUGUCCCUAGUACGAGAGGACCGGGACGGACGAACCUCUGGUGUGCCAGUUGUCCUGCCAAGGGCAUGGCUGGUUGGCUACGUUCGGGAGGGAUAACCGCUGAAAGCAUCUAAGCGGGAAGCCUGCUUCGAGAUGAGUAUUCCCACCAACUAGAUUGGUUAAGGCUCCCAGUAGACGACUGGGUUGAUAGGCCGGAUGUGGAAGCCUCGUAAGGGGUGAAGCUGACCGGUACUAAUAGGCCGAGGGCUUGUCCUC
rnacentral:rRNA from 1 species